GAAAUGCGAUAACUAGUGUGAAUUGCGGAAUUCCGUGAAUCAUCGAGUCUUUGAACGCACAUUGCGCCCCCUGGUAUUCCGGGGGGCAUGCCUGUCCGAGCGUCAUUGCUGCCCAUCAAGCACGGCUUGUGUGUUGGGUCGUCGUCCCCUCUCCGGGGGGGACGGGCCCCAAAGGCAGCGGCGGCACCGCGUCCGAUCCUCGAGCGUAUGGGGCUUUGUCACCCGCUCUGUAGGCCCGGCCGGCGCUUGCCGAACGCAAAUCAAUCUUUUUCCAGGUUGACCUCGGAUCAGGUAGGGAUACCCGCUGAACUUAAGC
rnacentral:misc_RNA from 1 species